rnacentral:rRNA from 1 species
CCUACGGGUGGCAGCAGUGGGGAAUAUUGGACAAUGGGGGAAACCCUUAUCCAGCGACGCCGCGUGAGGGAAGAAGGUUUUCGGAUUGUAAACCUCUGUCAGUGGGGACGAUAAUGACUGUACCCACGGAGGAAGCCACGGCUAACUACGUGCCAGCAGCCGCGGUAAUACGUAGGUGGCAAGCGUUGUCCGGAAUUACUGGGUGUAAAGGGAGCGUAGGCGGGAUGACAAGUCAGAAGUGAAAACUGUGGGCUGAAAUCGUAACCUGCUUUUGAAAAUGAUUGUCUUGAGUGAAGUAGAGGCAAGCGGAAUUCCUAGUGUAGCGGUGAAAUGCGUAGAUAUUAGGAGGAACACCAGUGGCGAAGGCGGCUUACUGGGCUUUAACUGACGGUGAGGCUCGAAAGCGUGGGGAGCAAACAGGAUUAGAGACCCUAGUAGUC